GUUGCCAACUCUGGCAGCACUGGUGACGAUGUCUGCUACAACAUCCCUCGUUCGAAGCCCUUCUUUAGAUCAAGUGACGGUCAAACGUUGCGAGAUGCACAAUUGUCUGGUGAUCCCAUGUCAAUGGAUUGCAGCGAAACGUCAGCCGAAGACAGACAUCAUUUCUCCGGUCAGCAUUAAGUGAUACGAACGCACGUUGAUCAGUCGUCAGAUCGUAUUUCUUUAUUCCGUUAAUAUUACGUCAAGUAUUACGUGUAAGUUUCGAGUUGCACUAUUUAAGCAGAAUAGGGGGUGUAACGGAGCAGCACAGGAUCGUUUGUUAGAACGGUGAAUACGGAUACGGGUAGUCUGGUGCCAAACGGAUUGAGAGCGGGCAAAUCCAUCGAAGAAUUGUUUGCGCUACCAAACACUACACCGUUCCGAAAAGUUGUUGGAAUUUGCUGAUGGAUGAGACUAAAUUGUAAGUUUAUCGGAAUGUAACAACAGUGGAGCAAAAAUAUGAAUUAAAUAAACCACUUUCAGCUUCAAGAAUUAAGGCACAACCAACCAAGUGCGUCUCUCUGAAGAGGUCCGAACAUCGAUUUCCAACACAUCGCGUCCCUUGAAAAUAUAUAAAAAUAUCCCGGAAGAAAUUUCUGAAAGAAUGCCUGAAAAAAUCCGGAGGAAUCCUGGGAGAAAUCUCCAUAGGAAUCCCGGGAGAAAUCAAUUAAGGAUCAUCUCUUAAGUAAUCUUAAGAGGAAUUCCUAAUGCAAUCCCGAAAACAAAAACAGUGAAAAAAUCCCGAAAGGUAUCAAUAAAGGAAUCCUGGAAGGAACUUCUGGAGGAAGUCCGGAAGAUAUCCCUGAUCGAAUGCCACAAAAUAUUCUUGAAGGUAUCCUAAGAAAAUUCCUUAAGUAAUCACGGGAGAGUCCAACGAAAGAAUCCCGAGAGAAAUUCCAGAAAAAAACCUGUAGGAAUCCCAGCAGAAAUCUCCAAAGGAAACCAGGAAAAAAUCA